AUUGAACGCUGGCGGCAUGCCUUACACAUGCAAGUCGAACGGCAGCACGGGAGCAAUCCUGGUGGCGAGUGGCGAACGGGUGAGUAAUAUAUCGGAACGUGCCCGGUCGUGGGGGAUAACGUAGCGAAAGCUACGCUAAUACCGCAUACGAUCUACGGAUGAAAGCGGGGGAUCGCAAGACCUCGCGCGAUUGGAGCGGCCGAUAUCAGAUUAGCUAGUUGGUGAGGUAAAGGCUCACCAAGGCGACGAUCUGUAGCUGGUCUGAGAGGACGACCAGCCACACUGGGACUGAGACACGGCCCAGACUCCUACGGGAGGCAGCAGUGGGGAAUUUUGGACAAUGGGCGCAAGCCUGAUCCAGCAAUGCCGCGUGCAGGAUGAAGGCCUUCGGGUUGUAAACUGCUUUUGUACGGAACGAAACGGUGAGCUCUAAUACAGCUUGCUAAUGACGGUACCGUAAGAAUAAGCACCGGCUAACUACGUG
rnacentral:rRNA from 1 species